GACGAAUGCUGGCGGCGUGCCUAACACAUGCAAGUCGAGCGGAGUCAGUAAGAAGAAGUUUUCGGAUGGAAUCUUAUUGAUUUAGCGGCGGACGGGUGAGUAACGCGUGAGCGACCAACCUUGCACAGGGGGAUAACGGACCGAAAGGUUCACUAAUACCGCAUAAGACCACGGUGUUGCAUGACACAGAGGUCAAAGGAGCAAUCCGGUGCAAGACGGGCUCGCGUCCGAUUAGGUAGUUGGAGGGGUAACGGCCCACCAAGCCUAUGAUCGGUAGCCGACCGGAGAGGGUGAUCGGCCACAUUGGAACUGAGAUACGGUCCAAACUCCUACGGGAGGCAGCAGUGGGGAAUAUUGGGCAAUGGGGGAAACCCUGACCCAGCAACGCCGCGUGAAGGAAGAAGGUUUUCGGAUUGUAAACUUCUGUCCUUGGUGAAGAGAAGAAGACGGUAGCCAAGGAGGAAGCCCCGGCUAACUACGUGCCAGCAGCCGCAGUAA
rnacentral:rRNA from 1 species